rnacentral:rRNA from 1 species
UACGUAGGCAGCGAGCGUUGUUCGGAGUUACUGGGCGUAAAGGGUGUGUAGGCGGUUGUUUAAGUUUGGUGUGAAAUCUCCCGGCUCAACUGGGAGGGUGCGCCGAAUACUGAAUGACUUGGAGUGCGGGAGAGGAGAGUGGAAUUCCUGGUGUAGCGGUGAAAUGCGUAGAUAUCAGGAGGAACACCAGUGGCGAAGGCGACUACCUGGCCUGUUUCUUGACGCUGAGGCGCGAAAGCUAGGGGAGCAAACGGG